AGGGGGAGCCGAGGCGGCGCGCAGGGCGAGAGGGAAUGAAAGCAGCAGGAUGUACCACUGACGGUCGCCACCCUCCAGGACGAGCCGGGCGCCCAGGGACGGACCAGCACCCCACCCCAGGAAAGGCAAUGUGGGAGGGGGCUGCAGCGGACGGGGCAAUUGGGAAAAGGGGAAGAGAGCUGUUUACUCUCUCAGUGCGCAGGCGCGGGCGCUAAGCCUCUGGUUCUUAAAGACGCAGGAGGACACUGACCUACUUCUAUUGGGGUUCUUCUCAGAGCUUGGCGCUAACCCCUUGGAAAGAUCCGAUCGUUCGUUCCUUCAUUCCGCAGACACCUACGGAGCUCGUCGCGCGCUGGGUGCUGGGCUCUCGGGGCACUGUGAGCUCACAGCACGGUGGCGGAGACAAAGUACACACAGUCCCCAUACAGAGUGCAGAGAAGGGACUGAUGGCAUCCUCUCUGGGGGAGAGGCAGUGACCGUGAUGGUUCUGUGUUUUGAGUUGGAUGUUAAAGGAUGAGAAGGAGUUAGCCAGAACCCCGCUCUCCUCCAUGCCCAGAGAGUCCCAGGCAAGGACAAAAUCUUCAUGUCUCCCAGAGGCUCAGCAUGCAGCUUUUCUAAUGGGAGGCAUGGCUUCUCCCAGGACACAAAUAAAAUAAAAUAAAA